GGUCGUAUAGUGUAGUGGUUAGCACGAAGGAUUUUGAUGACUAAACAUUCCUUAGUCCCCGGUUCGAACCCGGGUACGACCU